rnacentral:tRNA from 1 species
GCUUUGGUAGUUCAGUGAUAGAAUUCUCACCUUCCAUGCAGGAGACCCAGGUUUGAUUCCUGGUCAACGCA